GGAAUAUUGGUCAAUGGGAGGAAUCCUGAACCAGCCAUGCCGCGUGGGGGAAGAAGGUCCUAUGGGUUGUAAACCCCUUUUGCUCCGGAGUAAUAAGGCGCUUGCGAGCGCCGAUGAGAGUACGGGGCGAAUAAGCAUCGGCUAACUCCGUGCCAGCAGCCGCGGUAAUACGGAGGAUGCGAGCGUUAUCCGGAUUUAUUGGGUUUAAAGGGUGCGCAGGCGGCGCGUUAAGUCAGCGGUGAAAUGCCCCGGCUCAACCGGGGAGCUGCCGUUGAUACUGGCGUGCUCGAGUACGGACGGCGCCGGCGGAAUGUGUCAUGUAGCGGUGAAAUGCUUAGAUAUGCCACAGAACACCGAUCGCGAAGGCAGCUGGCGAGGCCGGUACUGACGCUCAGGCACGAAAGCGUGGGGAUCGAACA
rnacentral:rRNA from 1 species